UACGAAGGGGGCUAGCGUUGUUCGGAGUUACUGGGCGUAAAGGGCGCGUAGGCGGCGCACCAAGUCAGGCGUGAAAGCCCUGGGCUCAACCCGGGAAUUGCGCUUGAGACUGGUGUGCUUGAGUACGGGAGAGGAUAGUGGAAUUCCCAGUGUAGAGGUGAAAUUCGUAGAUAUUGGGAAGAACACCGGUGGCGAAGGCGGCUAUCUGGACUGAUACUGACGCUGAGGAGCGAAAGCGUGGGGAGCGAACAGG
rnacentral:rRNA from 1 species